AAGAAAAUAAAGUAACUAUUUACCAACUAUUCAAAAUACACCUUUGUACUGAAAACAGCUCUUGGUAAAUUACAGUCAACAAAUAUAUAUGAUUGGACCACAUGAGUUCGUUAUUCUCAUUGUGAAGAUGACAGUUUAUUGUUCCCCACAAUUAAUACAUAUUGAAGUGUAUUUCCAUCACUGUAAAUAGGUAAUAAUUUUGAGUGCGACAAAAACAGUUUAAUGAUUCAAUAAUAGUAGAAAACAAAAUAAGAUUAUCACUGAAAAUUUUGUCCAUUUAGAACAGAAUGUUCUGGAAAUUCUGGAAGUUCCAGUCUCUCUCCUGAAUAUCCUUGACCCUCCUCCUAAGCAGGUUUUUGGGGGAUACUUCAAAAAUUUCCAGAAGUAACUUCUUUAAAAAUGCAUUAUUUUU